rnacentral:ncRNA from 1 species
AUUAAUAACCUAGGUCGAGAACCUUAAAAAUUAAA